rnacentral:lncRNA from 1 species
AUGAUGCUGACCCCGGACAGCGUGAGGAGAUCCUUCAGCAGGAUCAAUGCACGCAAAGCUCCGGGUCCUGACAACAUUCCUGGGCGUGUACUGAGAGACUGUGCAGCAGAACUCCCUGAUGUCUUCACAGACAUUUUCAACAUCUCACUUAGUCAGGCUGUUGUUCCCACAUGCUUCAAAGCUACCACCAUCAUUCCAGUCCCGAAGAAGCCAUCUCCAAUGACUCCCAUCCUCAUGAAGUGCUUCGAACGGCUAGUCAUGCACCACAUGAAGUCUGCCCUCCCUCCCUGGACCCAUUCCAUUUUGCAUUUCGGUCCAACCGGUCGACCGAUGAUGCCAUCUCAACUACCCUCCACUCAGCACUCACACAUCAGUUCAGCAUUCAACACAAUCAUCCCUCAACAGCUCAUUCACACACUGGUCGAGCUGGGGCUCAACACUUCGCUGUGCAACUGGCUGUUGGACUUUCUGACUGGAAGACCACAGGCAGUACGUGUCAGCAGCAACACAUCCAGCACCAUCACACUGAACACUGGCGCCCCCCAAGGAUGUGUGCUGAGUCCCCUCCUCUUCACUCUGCUGACCCACGACUGCACACCGUCAUACAACUCCAACCUCUUCAUUAAGAUUACGGAUGACACGACUGUGGUGGGUCUCAUUAGCAACAGAGAUGAGACAAGCUACAGGAGCGAGGUGAGCCGCCUGGCCGGGUGGUGCAGUGACAACAAUCUCUCUCUGAACGUGGAGAAGACGAAGGAGAUUGUUGUUGACUUCAGGAGAGUGCACACUCAGCAUGUUCCUCUGACCAUCAACGGUGCGACCAAGUUCCUGGGUGUGCACAUCACAGAGGAUCUCUCCUGGACCGACAACACUGCAGCACUGGCCAAGAAAUCACAGCAGCGUCUCUACUUCCUCCGCAAACUGAGGAGAGCCAGAGCCCCACCCCCCAUCAUGUACACCUUCUACAGAGGCACCAUCGAGAGCAUUCUGACCAGCUGCAUCACUGUGUGUUUUGGCGCCUGCAACGCGUCCUGCCGGAAGACUCUGCAACGCAUAGUGAGAGCAGCUGAGAAAGCUUCUUCAGUCUGCUGUCAUCAGGGAGGAGACUGCGGAGUCCCCAGGCCAGGACCAGCAGACUGA